GACGAACGCUGGCGGCGUGCCUAAUACAUGCAAGUUGAGCGAUGAAGAUUGGUGCUUGCACCAAUUUGAAGAGCAGCGAACGGGUGAGUAACGCGUGGGGAAUCUGCCUUUGAGCGGGGGACAACAUUUGGAACCGAAUGCUAAUACCGCAUAACAACUUUAAACAUAAGUUUUAAGUUUGAAAGAUGCAAUUGCAUCACCCAAAGAUGAUCCCGCGUUGUAUUAGCUAGUUGGUGAGGUAAAGGCUCACCAAGGCGAUGCUACAUAGCCGACCUGAGAGGGGGAGUGGCAAAAUGGGGACGAAGAAACGGCCCAAACAGCAAGGGGAGGAGGCAGGAGGGAAGCGGAGGCAAGGGAGGAAAGGCGGAACGAGCAACGCCGGGUGAGGGAAGAAGGUUUUCGGAUAGUAAAAAUAUGUGGGUAGAGAAGAACGUGGGUGAGAGUGGAAAGCUCAUAAAGUGACGGUAACUAACCAGAAAGGGACGGCUAACUACGUG
rnacentral:rRNA from 1 species